GCUCUAAACUACCUGCACAUUUAUCAGUUGUGGAUUGUGAGUCAAAUACACUGUGACCACAAAGUUACACCUCCAGGAGUAUCAGAUCAGAAUCCAGCAGGAUUUUAAUAAAAUGCUCUAAUGUCAGAAGUAAGCACUACUUUGCCUCUUUCUAGAUGCGGCUCCAUAGGUCAACUUGUCUUCUGCACCAAGAUGCCUUUUGGGUUCAGAGGGAUGAAGUGAAAACUCCCAGCCCCAGCACAUCCCUGCUGGAGCUUUAUGUACAAUAUACAACCCAGACAGACCAGGUGUAGCAUGCUAAAAAUUAAGUGCAGAGUUAAGUUUUGAUCAAUGGAGCGAGAAGAAAUGGAUGCCACAGGAGAAAGGAUCUAACGCUCUCCCGGUGAAUUGAGAAAGGUAGAGCAAAGAGAGAACCUUGACCUUCAUUGUAUGUGGCUACCAGACUUUCUCUAGGUUCAAAGUUUUACUGGAAACUUUUUUUUUUAACUCCUAGGCUUACAUUUACUAUUUAUGUCUCCCAUGCAGAGUAUGCCUUAAAAAUUUUUUUUAAUCAGAAAUUUCAUUUUCAGGCAGGUACACAAUUUGUGAAUGACUAAAGAGAUCUGACUGUAUCAUGGAAACCUCAUUGUUGACUUCUGGCCAAUUGCGAGUAACUUCAGUAUCUAAUUCAGAAAAGAAUGGUCUCUUGCUCUUGCCAGAGCAAAAGCUGCAGCAAUAUUAAUGGAAGACAGACUCUGUUCUAGGCUAUUUACAACAGGGGACAGGACAACACUCAACUCAAUGUCACUGAGCUCAACUUCAUUGAAGUUGAAUGAGGGCAGAAAAGAGUUCCUUGCUUUGAAAUACAUGAAUAUCAGAAAAGUGCCCUCAGGCAAAGAAGAUGCAGCUUUUUAAGAAAAGGAUCCAAUUUGGGAAGGAGGAACAGUGCUUCCAUGGCCACACAGAGCCCCAGCCAGACAACCUAGGACCACAGAGGAAAAAUUGCCUUGUUAAAGAGUCGUAAACUUUGAGUGACCCCACAUAGGCGAGGCUGGCAUUGGACCUGAGUGAAGACUCUUUCCUGACCAAGGAGCAUGAGGAUUUGCAUUAACUAAUCCUGAACAGACCAGUGGAGACCUCCUGCCUGUCCAGAGGGAUAUUUCUCGAGCCUUAAUGGGCUCAUCUGCCAUGAAAUCCCCUUCCUGACUUCCACCCAUCUAACACACCUCAGUGGGAUUCUUCACAGGUAUGUUCUUAAAAGUGGCAAAUAAAUACAACCAGCUUUAAAAAUUUCGUCCUGCCCUGGGUUGAUUUUGCAGUACUUUUGAAACCU